rnacentral:tRNA from 5 species
GGAGAGGUGUCCGAGCGGUUUAAGGUGCAUGAUUGGAAAUCAUGUUGCCGGCGAAUACCGGCACGGGGGUUCGAAUCCCCCUCUCUCCGCCA